CCGCUAAGGGACCCGUGACCUUUCGGACUUAUCCGUGAAUCACGACCUAAAUUCCGGGGUGUUCGGUGGAGACGACCCUACCGCUCCCCCUGGUGGUCGUUUAUCGCCGCCGAACCCCGGCCCACAACAUGUGACCCUCAUAAUGCAUUUAGUGUAAUACCUCCAUACCUCCAUGGAAUACCUCCAUACAUGUAACCUCCAUAUAGCGGGGAAUUCAUCGUGUCCCAGACUUACAAAUUAGCUGGUGUUGUCGGUGAGAAGUUGUGUUUGCUGAACUUUUCCACGGCCCACAAAACAGAGAUUUCUUAUCGGUGGAAUCACUGCUGCGUCAACUAAUUUUGGGCGGUGUAUCGGUUUUCCAACAGGAUUUAUUCGACAGCGCAACUCAAAAUACGAGAAGAGAUAAUUACUUAUCCUUGAACAUGUAAUAUUAAUGUCUUGAUUUCGGAUGGACAAUAUUAUGCUUUCGAACGACCGAAUACGAAACCGUGUCCAUGAACGUUCUGAAGAAGUUUGAAGGAAAAUUAAUAUCGGGGUGAGGUUCUUCUUCUUCUAAAACCCGUGGUACUGUUACAGCGUCGGCUAAUCACUGUAUCGUCGUGGUCGCGCGGAAUUUCUGAGGAGAAUCGUAUGUUCGACGGUUCGUUCGUUUUAGGUUUUCGUUUGUAUAUUUAAUACUUACUAUUGACUCAGGAAGCACAUUGGACAACGUUGAUUUGUAGUUGAUUUUUAAAACUUUUGCUCUUCAUGGCCAAUGAAGACGAGGUCAUGACUGAAAUGGAGACCUUCCCAGGGUGGCUACGGACACAGGGCCUGACGUCAGAAACUGCUCAAGCAGUCAUCAUGGAGCUGGGUAUUGAGAACCGUCAGGUGCUCCAAGCCUGCACAGAGUCCGAUGCAUUGAGAGCUGAGCUCCUCUCAUGUGCACAGCAAAAGUUUCCUUUUGCAAUGUAUGCAGAGUUCCACCAAUUUAUGGAGUCUUGUGUGAAACCAGGAGCUAUCCAGUCUGCAAGCUCUUCUUCGGCACACAUAUUUUGCUUGAUGCUUGAGCAUGUAGGUGACAAGCUUUCUGGCUGUGCCCAGAAAUUGCGCUUGUUGAAAUCUUCACUCCUAUAUGCUGGAGUGACAAACGCUCAACUUCAAGAAACUGAUAUUGUGUCUGAGAUCAGGAUACAUGAUGUUUACAGCCUCCAGCCUAACGGUUCCAGGUUAAACCCCAACUCUGGUGAAGAUGAUUUUCAAAAGGCAACUGAUAUAACUCCAAACACCAGGAAAUCUGUUAUUAAAGAGUUGGAAGUUGCAGCUACACAGGAGUCCAGCAAUAUUUCAGAUCUUGACCCAGGUAAAAUGUAUUCUGCAAAAGUGGAAAGCCUCCAAGAGGACAAUGAUCCAUCUGCCUCAGAAGCUUCGAGAUGUGCUUCUGUAAAAGAAGAAAUAGAUGAUCAUACGACAGAUGAUGGUGUUGCCUGUUGGGAAACUGGUAAGCAGAAAUGUAUUGUGGAUAUUGAAGAUCUUUCAGUAUUAUUGGCUCAGUUUUGGCAUUUGUGAGCUCAAUGCAGCUUUUUUAUAUACAGGGUGACCACAAACAAAAUGGUACCGAACUUAACUCUAAUGGUAUCCUCUUACUUUUUGCAGGUGCACAAAAGGAGAGUUAGUGCAUCGUCAGUAGAUUUAGAUUUGGUCAAGGUUUAGAGUUGGUCAGCCAACAAUGUGGUACAGACAACGAAAGAAAAAUCGGUCAGUUGAAAUCUGCCUGGAAACGAAAUCCAUCAAAGAGACUCAAAUCAAGUCCUGAGUUGUAUGCCAAAGGACAUCGUCUCCUAAGGAUGGCUACAAUCCAUAUAUGAUGUCAAAACAACAAUACCUGACAAGAUCCGUUCAAUCACUGCAGCCAAAUGUGUCAAAGUAAUGAACAAUUUUCCCUGUCGAAUCAAAGCGUGCCUGCAGUGUUGAGGCCGGCAUCUGGAGCAUGUGCUCUAACCUCAAUAAAAUCAGACAUUAAAGAUAUCCAUCUGAAACUUUGCAUGAUAAUCUUGCUUCGUGUGAAGCAAAUGUAUACUAAGCAUGUUGUUUUAUAUAAAAAAGGCUUAUUAAAAUGUAUGGGUAAUGUUUUUUUGGGGGGUGGGAGGCAGUUUCAUGCUACCUAACGUGGUCAAGACUCUUGGAAGGUCUAGAGCAGAAUGGAAUGGAGCAAAAUGGAAAGGGGGAGGGGGGGACAGAGUCUAAGUGUGUGUGAGGUCGAGUGGAGGGGGAGAAGGACUUGUGGGGUGAAUCAGCUGCACACAUGCUACAAUACAGUAAGAAGAGGAACAGGAAAGUGGGAAUGAAACAAAAAAUGAACAAACCCACAAAAAAGAGGUGAAGGAGAGGGGGAAAAAAAAUCAAUUAACCUGAGGUGGAGGUGAGCAGCAGUCUUGAAGCCUUGGUGGGAAGAAUAGGACUGAAGACGGGACGUUCGUUCCACAAGCGAGAGAACAGAGGGAAUAAAACAAAAACGGGUGGAGGUGAGCAGUGAGCCUGGAUAUUUUUUUUUUUGAGUUUAACAAAAUGAUGGUGAUUGACAGACUGUGUGUGCCCUGCAGAAACCCGGGAAGAACAACCAAGAGAGGGCAGAGGGUGCAUGAGCAAAAAGGAGGCAGUAGAAUACAGAAGUCGUCAACCUGUCUAGAAUGCAAAAGCAAGAAAGUAACAUGCCUAGAUACUCGGCUUUGUCACCAGAUAUCUCAAUUAUUUUCAGGACCUUGCUUUCCAUGACAUCAAGCUGAGAAAGGUGUGAGGCAGGGGUGACAGCCCAGAGGAGAGACAGAGCAAUACUCCAUCAAGUUGUAGAUGAAGGCCUUGUAGGUGGAUAAAAAUGCAGGUGUGCUGAAGAAGAACUUUGCAUGACAGAGGAUGCCCAUGUACUGGCUUUAGAGGCCAACUGAGAAGUGUGGUUUGCCCAAGAAACGACUUGGCUACCAAUGAUCGUCAAAGGUUUGACUGAACUGCUUCAAUAAUUAAUUCAAUAGAAUUGUUCAGAAAGUAGUUGGUCGUGGGAGGCGGGAGUGCGCGGGGGGGGGGGUGUGAGGUUUGCCAGAUGGUUCUUUCAAAGAGACACUGUGAAAGUGUGGAAUUUGUCAACAUUAAAAGGCAUAUUCCAAGUAGUUGACCAGCUCAUCAUUCCACCAAGGUCUGCAGAGUGGAGAGCAUGCUGCCUACCUUUCUGAAGGAUGAGAGAUGUUGCAGAGGGUGGAGUCAUCAGCAAAGAUAUGUAUGUGGGGUUCUCCAGAGAGCCAGAGAGAUCGUUCAUGAAAAUUAGGAAUUGUACAUGGCUCAGAAUACUGCCUUGCCGCACUCUAGCCUUGACAGGAAGUUGAGAUGAAAGGAUCCUGUUGAGAGCCAAACGUUAUUUCAGAACCACUGAAGUUAGUAAUCUAUGUAUGGAGUUGGCCUUGAAUUCCAUAGGCAGAGUUUUGAAAGCAACGUGGGGUGCCAGAUUGUAUCAAAUGCUCAAAAUAUUUGAAGAGAGAUGGCUCUGAUCUCAUGUUUGAGAUUAAUGGCUUCUUUUCAUUGUUGGGAGAGCAGGAAAAAGCAUUUUCAAGGUAGAGUGACCUGGUCUGAAUCCAGAGUGAUAAUCAGAGAUCAGACCAUGACAGAAAUGGAAGGAUUUGAUGUCAUUUGUGAUGAUAGGUUACGUCAUUUUAUUGUGAGUAAGCUGGUCGGCAAUAAAGAUGAUUGGUUUUUCACAUGGCUUAUGAAAUUGAGUGAUGUUUGCUGACUUCCAAGCAGCUGGAAGAUGACAGAGGAUGCGCAAGAACCUGAUUUUGGGAUGCUUGCACUGAUGCCGUCUGAUGUUGCAAAAUCAGAUGUGAAGGAUGCAAGAAACCUCUCCAUCUUCUCAGGUGCCAAAGACAGUCCAAGAGUAGUUGGGUGUGACUGGGUAGAGUGGGUACAGAGAGUGAGCUGUUGGAAACACAAGAUUUGGAAUAAAAUGGAAUUGAGGCAUUCUCACAAGUGGUCUGCUGUGGUGCCUUUUGAAGUGAGGGAAGGGAGGGGGGGGCAUACUCCAGAGACGGACAGCAAGAUGUCAUCAAGUUUUUGAGGAGGGAGACAAGUUUGAAAGUUCAAUCUUGAGGUUGGUCAGGUGUUGUUUUCUGACUUCUGAGAGUGGACACUUGUUGAGGGCUUUGCUGAAUGAUCUGAGGUUCCCAUCAGUCGGAAUUGCCUUCCAGGAAAACGAGGCCAGUUGUUUCAAAGCAAUUGUCUCACCAUAGGAUUCAUUGUACUUUGGGUGAGAGGAAAGGUAUGACAACUGAAAUCGAAAUGGGAUGGAUCUGUGUAUGAGAAAGUGCAGGCUUCUGUUGUAUAAUUCCCAAGCUGAGUUAAUAAUGGGCAUCAGAUAUGCGAGACCAGUGCUGAAGUGAGAUUACUGCUUGCCAAUCUGCCCGAGUUAACUGCUUGACUUGCCGGCGGUUCGCCGGCUCAGAAUAACCAGAGAGAUAGUGACUCUUACAAGCACAUGAUUAGAUGAACCAAUUGGAGCAGAUGAAGAGCAGGAGACAUUAGCAGAAAAGUUGGUCAUCACUCAGUCCAGAAUGGAGGAUUUGCAAUUGACAUAAAUCUGGUUAUAAAGUUCACAGAUUGAGUCAAUUCUGUGGAGUCACAGAAGUCCUUUGUUGAUGUGCCAUGGGUGGUUGAAGAGUAGUUUGCAGCCAAUUGGCAUGGUUGCUGUUGACAUUGCUGCACAUGAGGAGAAGAGAGUUAGGAUUGGUAAUUAUUCAAUGGUCGAUGUUGGCGGAGAGACAAACAGACAUUCACAGACAGAUGAAGUUGUUCCUCUUUGGUGGACGGAACAACACACAGACAAACAUGAGGUGGGAGUGGAGGGAAAGUCUCGAGCAAAGGUACACGUGGGGUUUGGGAGGUGUAAGGGGAGCAUGCAGACAGUCAGAAAUGGAGACGUCAAGAUACAGUAUGUCUACGGAGAUGACUGAUCUCAUGUCUGAGAUUGAUUAAGGGCUUCCAUCCCUUUUUUGGGAAAGUUAAGGAAGCAUUUUCAGGGUAGAAUGACCAGGUCUAAAACCAAACUUAUGAUCUGAGAUCAGGCUGUUAGAGAAAAAGAUUUGUCGACUGCAAUGCUCGAUUUCAUGACCUUGCUUAUAAUUUGAAGCAAAGGUCCUGAGUUCAAGCCCCAUUGGCUGCUUGAAUUAAUACACACCAGGAGGUUGACUCAGCCUGUCAUCCUUCCGAGGUCGGCGAAGUGGGUACCAGUGUACUGGGUCCGGUGUAUGCCCCGGUUAGAAUAGGUGUACCAUAUCCCUGUGUCGUAAGAGGCGACCAGGGUUGCGUCAGGAAGGGCAUCCGGCAUAAAGCCUGUGCCAAAUCAUUAUGCGGAUCAUAACGGAUGAUCCGCUGUGGUGACCCCCUAACGGGAGCAGCCGAAAGAAGAAGAAGAGAAGACAUUGUGGAUCGUUUCCUCCUGUCCACAACUACAUCUGUCCGCCUCCAGCCCCUCCCUAGUCACACGCAUUUCUCAAGAAACCCUCACCUGCUCACCCUCCCCACAUCCAGAAUUUAAUUGCCCAUUUGCAUUCAUUUGUCCACUUUUUCUUCUGAUUGUGGAAUCAUUUCCUUGGGGUUCUCAGUAAAUAAGAAUGUCCAAGUGCUGGGUUGAGGUUUCAUGCCAGAUACCUUUACCUAUUUAGCAAGUGUGCUUUAAUUAACUCUUAAAAAAUGAAUACAUAUACACUUGACUUGAAUUCAAUUUUGUAGCAUUGUAAAGUACAUGUUCCAGCAAGCUAUUGACAAGGAGUUGUAUGCAGGUGAUAUCUUUCUCAUAAAAGUUGAAUAUGUACAAGACAAUGAUUCAUCAACCCUUCAACCUUUGGGUUGUUUCUGUAAAGGAAGAUCCAGUUGCUGUUCAUGUGCCUAACUGAAAAUCUGACUGUUCUGUAUAAGGUGAGCACAUCUGUGCAAAAUAUUUAAUCCUCAUCUGGAUAAUUUUAAUAUUUUGAAAUCUUAUUAAAUAUUCUGAUGCUGACCAAAUGGGAUGUUCACUUU
ensembl:lincRNA